rnacentral:lncRNA from 1 species
UUGGUUCUGCUAACCAAACGAGGAGGGGAUCAGCUGUGAGUGAUGUUUGGUUGGGAGAUGAAAUCGCCACCGUUGGUUGUGAUGUUAUGAUACGUUGUUUUUAGGGGCCCCAAUCCAUUGCAGUGAGCAGCACAGUGAAGCAGACUGACACAGAGUAGUAGGUAGCUGUUGAAGUUACUGAUCAAUCACUGUGUGACAGUGAGAAGCUGUAAACAAACAAUAUUAACUACGGGAGCUUAAAGU